rnacentral:rRNA from 1 species
UACAGAGGGGGCAAGCGUUGUUCGGAAUUACUGGGCGUAAAGGGCGCGUAGGCGGCCUGUUAAGUCGAACGUGAAAUCCCCGGGCUCAACCCGGGAACUGCGUCCGAUACUGGCAGGCUUGAAUCCGGGAGAGGGAUGUGGAAUUCCAGGUGUAGCGGUGAAAUGCGUAGAGAUGCGGAGGAACACCGAUGGCGAAGGCAGCCCCCUGGGCUAACACUGACGCUCAGGCACGAAAGCGUGGGGAGCAAACAGG